UAAAAUUUUUGGAAUUGGGUGCUAGGGAAGGUUUUGUUUGACUUGUCUGUCAUAACUAAAUUAAUUUUCCCUAGUCCCCCUAUUCCUAUGAUUUUC
rnacentral:pre_miRNA from 1 species